AUCUGCCACCAAUGCUUUCACCUUCCACCAUGAUUGUGAGACCUCCUAGCCACGUUAAACUUUUCAGUUACCUGCAGUCAAAUGUGGUCCAAUACACAGACUGGAAUAAGAGACAUUGGAGACUCCAAAAGGUGGGCAGAAUAUUUUCUGGUAGACUGAUACAUUUCUUCUAAAAAAUUUGGAAAAAUUUUGUGAUGAAGAAGCUACCUGGGCCUGAAGAUAUCUUUUCUGAAGAUGGCCAUCUACAAAGUACACAGAGGAUACCCACCUGUCACCGGAUCUGCCAGCACCUUGAUUGUGGACUUUCUUGUUUCCAGAAUCGUGAGCCUUGUUUCUGAUCUGCGUGGGAAAGAAUUCAGUAUUUCUCCAUUUAAUAUGACAUUAGCUAUAGAUUUUUUAUAUGAUAUUAGCUAUAGAUUUUUUAUAGAUGCCUUGCAUUAAAGUGAAGAAGCUUCAUUUUCUUCCU